UACGUAGGGGGCAAGCGUUGUCCGGAAUUAUUGGGCGUAAAGGGAGCGUAGGUGGGCUGUUAAGUCAGUGGUGAAAUCCCGAGGCUCAACCUCGGAACUGCAGUCGAUACUGCUGUGGCUAGAGUCUGGUAGAGGAGAGUGGAAUUCCCGGUGUAGCGGUGAAAUGCGCAGAUAUCGGGAGGAACACCAGUAGCGAAGGCGGCUCUCUGGGCCAGCACUGACGCUGAGGAGCGAAAGCGUGGGGAGCAAACAGG
rnacentral:rRNA from 1 species